AAAGAAAUGAUAUUGCAUU
rnacentral:snRNA from 1 species